rnacentral:rRNA from 1 species
AUUGAACGCUAGCGGCAUGCCUUACACAUGCAAGUCGAACGGAGUGGCGGACGGGUGAGUAAUGCAUCGGAACGUGCCCAGUAGUGGGGGAUAACUACCCGAAAGGGUAGCUAAUACCGCAUACUCUUAGAUCAGCCGAUGUCGGAUUAGCUAGUUGGUGGGGUAACGGCCAAACAAGGCGACGAUCCGUAACUGGUUUGAGAGGAGGACCAGCCACACUGGAACUGAGAAACGGCCCAGACUCCUACGGGAGGCAGCAGUGGGGAAUUUUGGACAAUGGGGGAAAGCCUGAUCCAGCCAGUCCGCGUGUGAGAAGAAGGCCUUCGGAGUGUAAAGCACUUUAGGCUGGGAGGCGUUACCAGCAGAAUAAGCACCGGCUAACUACGUGCCAGCAGCCGCGGUAAUUC